rnacentral:rRNA from 1 species
AAAUAUUUUUGAUAAAAGUAAGUAUAUAAAGAGACUAUUAUGGAUUAGAAGCUAUAUAUCAAAGAGAGCUCUAAAUAGAAAUUAAAUUAAAAAAAAAAACGAAGCAAAUUGAAAUAUCUUAUUAACUUCAGGAAAAUAAAUCAAACGAGAUUAUUAAAUUAGUGAGAAUUAAAUAAUAAAAGUCUAUUAAGUAAAAUGGAGUGCAUACCUGUUUGAACUUAAAGGGGAACCUUCCUCUAAGGCUAAAUAUGAUAUAUAAGCGAUAGUUAAAAGUACCGUGAGGGAACAUAAAAAAAAAUAGUAGUUUUAUAAGCAGCUUGAGUUUAAAACAAGAGCGUACCUUUUGCAUAAUGGGUCAGCAAGUUAAUAUUAGAUGCGAGAAAUUUCCUAGAUAAAGCGAUUAUUAAAUAAUGAAUUAGUAUCUAAAAUUAGACCCGAAGCCUAGUGAUCUUACUACGAUCAGGGUUAUAAAAGCCCGAACGGUUUAUCGUUGUAAAGAUAUCCGAAGAAUCGUGGUAAGUUAGUGAAAGACAACACUGACUAGGAUAGCUGGUUUUCCGCGAAACCUAUAUAAGUAGGUAAUUUUAAUAAAAUCAUAGCAGGUACAGAAUUGUGAUCUUAUACAACUUUUAUAUAAUUUUGUAUAUAUUGGGGGGUCGUGAAGAUUCUAUCAGUGAGUAUUUGUUCUCGAAAGGGCUAUGAUUAAUAUUGAAUAAUCGGACAUAGUACGCUAAGGUUGUAUGUCUAAAGGGAAACAGCCCAGAACAAGUGUUAAUAAGGUUCCAAAAUUAUUGUUAAGUGAAAUAAAGGUAGUUUAUGUCCCAAAUGGCCAGGAAAUGGGCUUAGGAGCGGCCAUUUUUUAAAGACCUCGUAACAGAGCACUGGUUUUAUUAUAAAAAAUAAAUAAUAUACAAAAAUUUUUUGUAUAUUAUUUACAUGGAUAUGAGCACUGACGAUACAACGGAUCUAAAUAAUAUACCGAUACCUUGUCCAUAAUUAUUUAUAUAUACUUAACGGAAGAAAGAGAUAAAGAUACACAUAAGUUAUAUAACGUUUUAUGGGGUAGCGGAACAUUGGGUAUACCACAUUGUUUUAUUUUAUAAAUAAAGUAAGGUACCCCAAGUGAUAAUGCUGACAUGAGUAACGAUAAAGGGAACGAAGCAAUAAACUAAAACAGAUGAGCGAGUAGUCAAUCCCUCGCCUAAAGCUUAUGGUAUUUAGUUAAAGUAACGGCCUCUAAGUUUAUAAAUUAAGUUUACCGUACCUAAAAACUACCACAAGUAAGCAAGUAGAGAAUACGAAGGCGUUCGAGCUAACAAUCAUUAAGGAACUCGGCAAAUUAACUCACGUAACUUCGGGAUAAGGUGAGCCAUUUCUAUUUUUUAAUAUAAGUAAGAAAGAGGAGGCACAGAAUGGUGUUGUACGACUGUUUAAUUAAAACAAAGCACGUUGCAAAGACAAAAAUCGAAGUACAAGGUGUGAUGUCUGCCCUAUGGCGGCUGGUUAACGGAUUUGUUUAGUUGACUAAUAUAGGUUAGACUUUGAAGGAAACCCCGUUAAAUGGCGGCCUUACAGAUGAGGGUCCUAAGGUAGCGGAAUACCCUGGCCGUUAAAUGCGGUCUUGCAUGAAUGAUGUAACGAUACAACAGCUGUCUCUAUGAUUGACUCGGUGAAAUUGGAAUAACUGUGCAGAUACAGUUUACCUCUAGGUAGACGAGAAGACCCUAUGCAGCUUUACUGUUGCUAGUUACUUGGUAUGAUGUAAUGAGUUUUAGAGUAUAAGGUAGUUGCUCAGAUAACAAUGAAACACCUUUACUUCAUUUGUCAUAUUAUAUUACCACCUAAAGGUGGGAUCAAUUGCUAGGUGGCAGUUUAUGCGGGGCACAGAUCCCAUAAAAAGUACCUGGGAGUAUCCAAAAUUAAUUUGUAAUAUUGCAUUUUAAUUUUGCAGCUAAAUAUAUAUAGCUAAGUUAUAUAUAUUUUUCUUUUUAUUUUGUUUUUAGAUAAAUUUUAUUACUAAUUCAAUUAUAAAUCUAUUUAAGUUGGAACUUUUUUUUUAUAGUAAGUAAGAUUUUUUUUAUAUAUAAAUAUAAAUGUAAUUAAAGUACUAUUUAAUAUAUAACAUAAAGUUAUAUAUUAACUCUUUUUGUUGUUUACUGAAUUACACCUGUUUGUUUUUUGGUUUUAUCUUAUUGAUAAAAACCGAAAUUAGUUAAAUGAUAAUUAUAUUACUUAUAAAGUUUAACGGCUUAAUCUUGCUUUACUGUUUGACUUACACGUCUUUCAGUCGCGUAAGCGGGGCAUAUGAUCACAAGAUGCAGAAAGGAAAGGUCUUGGAUUUUUGAAAAAGUUACGCUAGGGAUUAAAACAGGCUAAUAUCGCCAGAGAGCUCAAAUUGAGUGCGGUGUUUGGCACCUCGAUGUCGGCUUAGCUCAUCCUCAUGAAUGUAGGAGUCAUGUAGGGUAUGACUGUUCGUCAAUUAAAGAGCUACACGAGCUGGGUUAAAUACGUCGUGAGACAGUAUGGUUUCUAUCUUCUAGAGGAAAUUAGAAUAAAAUAAGGAUGUCCCCUUGUACGAAAGGAAAUGGGUAUGUUAACCCCUGGUUUACCUGUUGUUUAUGCUACGAUAUUAAUUUAGGUAUAUGCUAUAGAAUCACUGUAGAGCGGAGAAAUCCAACCUGCUAGUUGCAACAUAUAUGCUGGAGUUUACUUUUCACUAUAGUAAGCUUUUGUUAAAACAAUAAACUAAAUAAGAUGAGUUUUAAGUAAUUUAGCAUGGGCAUGGCAGGAAGGCUAUGUUAGUUAUGGAUAAGUGCUGAAUAAAUCUAGGCACGAAGCUAACCUUAAGAUAUUCUUAAAUAAACGUAGUUUACUACUACGAAUUAAUAGGCUUAAGUUGAAAAAAUUGUGAUUUUCUUAGGCAUUAAGUACUAAUUUUAUAAUAUACUAAA